GACGAACGCUGGCGGCGUGCCUAAUACAUGCAAGUUGAGCGAUGAAGAUUGGUGCUUGCACCCAUUUGAAGAGCAGCGAACGGGUGAGUAACGCGUGGGGAAUCUGCCUUUGAGCGGGGGACAACAUUUGGAAACGAAUGCUAAUACCGCAUAACAACUUUAAACAUAAGUUUUAAGUUUGAAAGAUGCAAUUGCAUCACUCAAAGAUGAUCCCGCGUUGUAUUAGCUAGUUGGUGAGGUAAAGGCUCACCAAGGCGAUGAUACAUAGCCGACCUGAGAGGGUGAUCGGCCACAUUGGGACUGAGACACGGCCCAAACUCCUACGGGAGGCAGCAGUAGGGAAUCUUCGGCAAUGGACGAAAGUCUGACCGAGCAACGCCGCGUGAGUGAAGAAGGUUUUCGGAUCGUAAAACUCUGUUGGUAGAGAAGAACGUUGGUGAGAGUGGAAAGCUCAUCAAGUGACGGUAACUACCCAGAAAGGGACGGCUAACUACGUGC
rnacentral:rRNA from 1 species